rnacentral:rRNA from 1 species
UACGUAGGCAGCAAGCGUUGUUCGGAGUUACUGGGCGUAAAGAGUGCGUAGGUGGUGCCCUAAGUCUGUUGUGAAAUCUCCCGGCUUAACUGGGAGGGUGCGGUGGAAACUGGGGUGCUUGAGUGUGGGAGAGGUAAGCGGAAUUCCUGGUGUAGCGGUGAAAUGCGUAGAUAUCAGGAGGAACACCGAUGGCGAAGGCAGGUCUCUGGGCCACUACUGACGCUGAGAAGCGAAAGCAUGGGGAGCGAACAGG